GACUCAACACGGAAACCUCACCAGGCCGACACCGAAGGAUUGACAGAUUAAUAGCUCUUUCUUGAUUCGGUGGGUGGUGGUGCAUGGCCGUUCUUAGUUGGUGGAGCGAUUUGUCUGGUUAAUUCCGGUAACGAACGAGACUCUAGCCUGCUAAAUAAGGCGUCGUCAUCUCGGGCGCCGUCGGACUUGCGCCGGCGCGACUSACUGACGACGUAUUAAAAUUCUUCUUAGAGGGACCCGGCUUCGAGCCGCACGAGAUUGAGCAAUAACAGGUCUGUGAUGCCCUUAGAUGUCCUGGGSCGCACGCGCGCUACACUGAAGGAAUCAGCAUGUCAUCCUCGCUAAAGGCCCGGAAACCCGCUGAAACUCCUUCGUGCUGGGGAUUGGGGUUUGCAAUUAUCCCCCAUAAACGAGGAAUUCCUAGUAAGCGCGAGUCAUAAGCUCGCGUUGAUUACGUCCCUGCCCUUUGUACACACCGCCCGUCGCUACUACCGAUUGAAUGAUUUAGUGAGGUCUUCGGACCG
rnacentral:rRNA from 1 species